rnacentral:rRNA from 1 species
GGGAAUUCGAUUUUCCGGUUGAUCCUGCCGGAGGUUACCGCUAUCCGAAUUCGACUAAUCUAUGCGAGUCUUGGGUUAAACCAAGGCGCACUGCUCAGUAACGCGUAGUUAAUCUGCCCUUAGGUUCGGUCUAAUCCCGGGAAACUGGGGCCGAGGACCGGAUAGGUAAGGGGUACUGGAAUGUCCCUUUACUCAACUAAGGAUGAGACUGCGACCUAUCAGGUUGUUGCCAGGGUAAAGUCCUGGCGAGCCUAUAACAGGUACGGGCCUUGAGAGAGGAAGCCCGGAGUUGGAUUCUGAGACAUGAAUCCAGGCCCUACGGGGUGCAGCAAGAGCGAAACAUCCGCAAUGCCCGCAAGGGUGACGGUGGAAUUUGGAGUGCUUUCUCCUUUCUGGAGGGGGCUUUUGUCAAGUCUAAAUAGCUUGGCGAAUAAGUGGUGGGUAAGACGGGUGCCAGCCGCCGCGGUAAUACCCGCGCCACUAGUAGUAACCAUUAUUAUUGGGCUUAAAGCGUUCGUAGCCGGUCUUGAAAGUUCUCGAUGAAAUCCCGCAGCUAACUGUGGGGCUUGUUGGGAAUACUGUAAGACUUGGGACCGGGAGAGGUCAAGGGUAUUCCUGGGGUAGGAGUAAAAUCCUAUAAUCCCAGGAGGACCACCUGUGGCGAAGGCGCUUGACUAGAACGGAUCCGACGGUGAGGGACGAAGGCUAGGGGAGCAAAGCGGAUUAGAUACCCGCGUAGUCCUAGCUGUAAACGAUGCCCACUAGACAUUGGUAACUCCACGUGGGUUGCCAGAGUCGUA